GAUGGCGGCGACAGCGGCCGCGGUGGUGCCGGAGGAGGACACGGAGCUGCGGGACCUGCUGGUGCAGACGCUGGAGAACAGCGGCGUUCUGAACCGCAUCAAGGCCGAACUCCGAGCAGCUGUGUUUUUAGCACUAGAAGAGCAAGAAAAAGUAGAGAACAAAACUCCUCUAGUCAAUGAGAGCCUGAGAAAGUUUUUAAGUACGAAAGACGGCCGGCUGGUGGCUAGUCUCGUUGCGGAGUUUCUCCAGUUUUUCCAUCUUGACUUCACGUUGGCCGUUUUUCAACCCGAAACCAGCACAUUUCAAAGUCUUGAAGGCCGAGAGAACUUGGCCCGAGAUCUAGGUAUUAUCGAGGCAGAAGGUACUGUGGGCGGACCGUUGUUACUGGAGGUGAUCAGACGUUGUCAGCAGAAGGAGAGAGGGCCACCCAAUGGGGAGGGUGCACUAGAGCUGUCCGAUGUUCAUUCUCCACCAAAGUCACCAGAAGGCAAAACCAGCGCUCACAGCAAUACCAGUAAGAUACCAAGGUAUAAAGGACAAGGUAAGAAGAAGACAAGCGGGCAGAAGUCUGGUGCCAAGAAGGCCAGCAGUGAUACCAGUCAGAGUGACACGAGCGUCUCCUCAUCAGAACCAAAGAGCAGAAGCAGCCUCCACUUGCUGGCCCACGAAACCAAAAUUGGAUCUUUCUUAAGUAACAAAAGUCUAGAUGUCAAAGACAAAGCCGGUCUUUGUCCAGACGAAGAUGAUAUGGAAGGGGAUUCUUUCUUCGACGAUCCCAUUCCUAAACCGGAAAAAACUUACGGUUGGAGAAGUGAAGCUGGUGAGCACGCAGGAAGCCUCGCCUCGCUCUCCGACGCGCCCCCCUUGAAGAGUGGACUCAGCUCGCUCGCCGGAGCGCCCUCGUUGAAGGACUCUGAGAGUAAACGAGGAAGCACAGUUUUAAAAGAUCUGAAAUUGGUCAGUGAUAAAAUUGGAUCACUUGGAUUAGGGACCGGAGAGGACGACGACUACGCAGACGACUUCAACAGCACCAGCCAUCGCUCAGAGAAAAGUGAGCUCAGUAUUGGGGAAGAGAUCGAGGAGGAUCUUUCUGUGGAAAUUGAUGACCUCAACACCAGUGAUAAAGUACGGUGCGGCCGUGGCCUGCGGAGCGCUGCUCGCGCCUGUGUCUCUUGCUGGGGGCGACUGUACAGGGUCAACAAUUAAAGAAAGGCAAUUGAAGGCUGUGACAUGACCUUUCCUGGCCCAGGUUCUGGAGUCAGAACUGGCUACCUCAGCAGUGCAGUCAGCGGACGCGAGAGUCCUGUUUGGGGAAGGCAGGAUAGAAAUCGCUUGAUGACCUGACCCAGGACCUGACCGUGUCCCAGCUCAGUGACGUUGCCGAUUAUCUGGA